UCCAAGGUGAAGGUGCCGGCAGCUCUGAUGUCUGAGGUGACCAUGGAAGCAUGUGUGUUGAAAGAGGAAAGCAAGCUGGAAUGCAGCGUGAACACAUGGAGUACAGCUGCUAUAAAGAGUGACUGAGGAGACUGCAGUAGACUUGCCUGAUUGAAAAUUUAACUUUUUUUGUGUUAAAUCAUUGAGAUUUUAGGGUUGCUUAUUACCACGGCACAACCUAGCCUAUCAUGACUGGUGUGUGUAUGUGUAUAUAUAUAUAUGUGUGUGUGUGUGUAUAAUGUGUAUGUGUGUGUAUAUAUAAUAUAGGAGCUUUUAAAGGAAAAUAAAUUUAGUAAUUAAAAUAGGACAAAAUGAAAGAUACCAAAUAUCUGUUUGUGCAAUAUCACACGACAUUUUUGUGAUUUGCAUUGAUCUCAGUAGAAUAUAUCAUAGAAUAUGUAGAAUAUAUAAUACUCAGUAGAUUAUAUAUAUAUGAUAUAUAUAUGAUGUAUAUAUAUCAUAAUACAUCACUUACUCAGCUCUGCAGUAAGUAUCUCUAAGCCUUCUCUAAAUGCUCACAUUCUGCUGUUAUUAGGAUAAUCACAUUAAUUUCUAUUGCCUUAUACCCCUCUAAAAUUAGUCUUCAAUAUCACAUUUUUAUAACUAUUUAGAAUAAAUGUUAAUGGUUGGGGAAAGGAAUGUCAAAGGAGAGAUGUUCUUUUGAGAUAAGCACUUUAAAAAUCACAGAAGUUUAUUGGCUUCAUUUUUCAUAGGAGUUUUAAAGAACAUAGUUCAUUUUAGAGAAUGUCUAGUUGCUCUGGAUGGCUGUAUCAUAAGGUCACAAGGAGAGGAGAAUUGUGACAAAAAAUGUACAUGGAUAAUUCUUUCCUGUGUUGCCUUACAUCUAUAUAUCACAACAAGAGAUUACAGUCCAUUAAGUUCUACAACAUUUUCAUUAAAAAUACAAUCUGAAUCCUAAGAGGAAAAUACUAGCUACCAGAAACAUAAGAUUCUCAGAGAGCUUAGUGUGCUGCAUGUUAAGUUGCAGACAGACAUGCUAGUUUUCUUUGAAUCAGUAUCUUAAAUCUAUCCCCUUAUUUUUCCAUCUAAUUUUCAGCAGGUCACUCUCAAGUCAAAAUUUAAUUUUAUGUGGUUGAAGUUGUGGAGCCAAAAUGAAAUUGCAUGCUGUAGGGGGAAAAAAUUUAACCUACUUUUAAUAGCCCCUUUGAAAGAUACUUUGAAGACAUGACUUACUCUCGUAGUAUGUUGACUAUCUGAAGAAUGAAUUAUUAUAUCCUUGUCAAAUUUUAAAUAUCACGCUGUUAAAAAUAUUAGUCACACAGGGGGCUGCUUGACAGUAAUGUCACAGAAAAGCUCUGGUCUAUAUGAACAGGCAGAGUCUGAAACUUAAUACCAUGGUUCCAUGGAGCUCUGUCUUCCAUGGGCAACUGCUGAGGGGUGGGGAUGGGGGUGGGAAACUGCUUCAAGUUUCCU
rnacentral:lncRNA from 1 species